rnacentral:rRNA from 1 species
GUAGCGCAAUCACUUGUCCUUUAAAUGGAGACCAGUAUGAAUGGCAAGACGAGGGCUAAACUGUCUCCUCUUUCAAGUCAAUGAAAUUGAUCUCCCCGUGCAGAAGCGGGGAUACGCACAUAAGACGAGAAGACCCUGUGGAGCUUUAGACACCAAGACAACUCACGUUAAGAACCCCUAAACAAAGGGCUAAACUUAGUGAAACCUUGAUCUGAUGUCUUUGGUUGGGGCGACCACGGGGAGAGAAAAAACCCCCACGUGGAACGGGAGCACUGCUUCCCCCACAACUAAGAGCAACAGCUCUAAGCAACAGAACAUCUGACCUAAAGAUCCGGCUCUCCUGCCGAUUGACGAACCGAGUUACCCCAGGGAUAACAGCGCAAUCCCCUUUUAGAGCUCAUAUCGACAAGGGGGUUUACGACCUCGAUGUUGGAUCAGGACAUCCUAAUGGUGCAGCCGCUAUUAAGGGUUCGUUUGUUCAA